GGUAAAAUGGCUGAAAGAGCAUUAGGCUGUAAAUCUAAAAAUAGGGGUGUAGUCCCCUUUUUACCA
rnacentral:tRNA from 1 species